rnacentral:rRNA from 1 species
ACGUAGGUGGCAAGCGUUGUCCGGAAUCACUGGGCGUAAAGCGCGCGCAGGCGGCGAUCUACGUCUGGGGUGAAAGCCCGGAGCUCAACUCCGGGACUGCCUUGGAUACGGGAUCGCUUGAGGAUUGGAGAGGCAAGGGGAAUUCCACGUGUAGCGGUGAAAUGCGUAGAUAUGUGGAGGAACACCGGUGGCGAAGGCGGCUUCCUGGACCGACACUGACGCUGAGGCGCGAAAGCCAGGGGAGCAAACGGGA